GGGUCGGUAGCUUAGUUGGUAAAGCGCUCGUCUAGCAUACAAGAGUCCUGGAUUGAAAUCCCAGCCGAGCAC
rfam:Aedes aegypti strain Liverpool supercont1.114 genomic scaffold, whole genome shotgun sequence.